rnacentral:lncRNA from 1 species
GCAAAUGAAAUAUAUAGCUCGUCCUGCUUAUUUGCUGCGGUGUGCAAUCAUGUAGGAUGUUCAGCAGCUGGACCCGCUGCCUUUCGUCAUUUGGUCAGCCAGAAAAAAGGCAGCAGAAUGACAAAGUGGUGGUGCCUUUCAGCACUGCCGUCUCAUCCGUGGAGUGCGGCACUUCCCGGGAUGCUGGGAUGCUGGGAUGAUGGUGAGCUUCUGCUGACACCUACCGCCAGAGCCGAACGCAGCACAGCAACGCAGGGGAAGGCACCGUCCCUCCCACGGCACUCUUGGCGUGCAGCUUCGGAUUCGGACUGCCGGUGUUGUAUGGAAAGAGGUAAAUACCACCCAUAGUUUUACGGAAUAACUUAUAUAAGGCAGAAAUGGAAAAGGCCCCAGGAUCAAUUUCGUGAGAUUUUUGUUUCGGUUUUGUUUUGUUUUGUUUUGUUGGGGUUUUUUGUUUGGGUUUUUUUGGUGGUUUUUUUGGUUGUUGUUUUUCUCUGAUAAAAUUAGUGAAGGAUAAGAGUAAACUGAAAGUCUCUUUAUGCAUUUUCCGUGAUAGAAGCCAAUGAGUUUAUAACGAGAAAAUACUUUUCAAAGAGAAAAAAAAAUUAUAUUUUUUAAUAGAUGGUACAUCUUCAUUGAUACUGUGAGGGGUUUUACAUCAGAUUCAUGAAAAAGCUGCUCUUCAAAGAAAUUCCUGCCCAGGAGUAGGUACCUGUUUCUUUGGUUUUGCAAACCUGCUUUUCACUUAUUUCAAUACUUAGAAAUCACAUCCAAGACAAGGAAGUGUGGUAGAGGAUGCCACUUACUGGAAGGUUAUUAGUGAAUUGCAAUGAAUUAAUGAACACAAGAGCUGUAGUUGACACCUUGAUAGGUGUAUAAAGGACCAAGAACCUUCUGAGCUAUCAGAAAACUAGAAACUAUUAGAACAUUUGGCUACUGGUGGUAAGGCUGUUUGUGCAUGUUGGGGUAUUAUGCUCAGCUCCGUUGCCAAAGGACAGGGCAGCAAAGCAGUUGGAAGAGUUCAUCUGUUUUCAAUUUGAAUGUUAUUACAUCUAGUUUAAAAACCCUCAGGAGAAAAUUUAAGGAUAGAGUAGAUGUGUUUGUUUUUCUUUUUUUUCAGCUUGUUGAUCCACUCCCACCAUUUGGAUUCGUGUAUCACGUUCUCUCCUCUGUCUUCAACUCUGAAAACCACACGCUCUCAACUUGUGAAAUACUUCCAAAUUUGAAGCAUAAUCGCAAGCCAGGCAUCACUGCUAUGUGCUCUCUAACACUGCUGGGCUGCACGCUGCCUCUGAGGACCAGAAGGUGAGGAAGCCUGUGACCAACACCCCUCUGGAAUACCACAGGUAUAUAUGGUGAUGAGCACUUGGGCUUUUAACAACGCCUGCUUAAGUUAUGGGCAAAACAAGAUAGGUAGCUCAUCAGAGAUCAGGAAGUGAGGGCUAAAUUGGCUUAACAGCAGCAAGAAGUAAAGAGCCCACACAGCACUCAAAGCUGCUCUGUGCAGUGAAGCACAAGCUGUUGUUCUCUCCUUGUAGCUGGUACUACUUAACAGCACUUAUGAUAUCAUAAGUACUAUCCAGUUGUGGGUCUACAAAUGCUUUUUAGAUGCUAGGUUGUCAUAACUAAAUAAAAAAAUAUUGCAUUCAUUGUGGGGUGUGAUGAUAUUGCCAUCUUCCCUCUAGCUCACACUUUUGUUUUCUCUCUCCUCUUUUUUUGAGUGUAUAUGUAAAGAGCUUUCAGAGCCAGGUCAGUCUAAACUCCUAGUCUUGCAGGCUAGGCAGGAUCAGCUCUGCAAGGGUUUCAAUGAAGAAAACACCAGAUCUUAGCUAUCCUUUCUGAGGAGCAUGCUGAGGUAUAGCUGAAGCCUGAUAAUAACAUUCACUUCUCGACAACACAGACCAUUUUCUAGUUUAUCAUGAUCUGUUGUUUGGCAUGCUGCACAAGCCUUUUGUUUCUGUUUAGCUGGAAGCUUCUGUCAUUGCUCUUCCAAAGAAGCAAGUGCCUCUGAAAAAUAAUUACUUUGACCUGGGAAUGACCCAUUUCCUGAGGGUAAAUGACAAAGAAGAGACAGAAUAGCACUGGGUGAAGACCAAACUGAAAUUUUUAUGUCUUCCAUCCUGGGCCUGAAAUGAAUGCCUGGUAUUUUGACUGUCAGUGCUUGGUUCUCAUCAACAAAGUGGCAUGAGUUCAGGUAUGUCCUGUUGCUGACAAUUAGUCACUCUUCUGACCCAUUACAAAUAGAUUUAACUUUGUAAUCACUGUGAUCUUCAAUCCUACUUUCUUAACUGUGAUGUUGUUUGCCUGUGAAAAUAGCAUGGCUCUUGCCAUGAUCUCUGGUAGGUGUCAUUGCUACACUCUGCAGGGUACUUACUAACAAGGCAGACACUGUAUUUCCUGAAUUUUCCUUUAAGACUGCUUAAAGAUUUAGUUACUUGUGUAAUCUGUAUUCAGUGAUACAACACAGAACUUCCUUAUCCUGUUUGCCAGAUACAGUGUAUAAAGCUUGUAAAUAAAGAUGCAUUUAAUUUGCAUAAAUUAUUUGUUUGCCGGAGAAUUGUGAUUUUUAUCAAAGAUUCUGUAAUGACAGUUUAUUGUUGCAGAAAUUGCUUGGGCAAUCAAUCAAGAUCAUAAGUCUGCAUACAGCUGGAAAACUUAUAAAUAUAAUUCAUCAAAAAAUCCAUGUUAAUUAGGGUCAAGCCACCAUGAAAGAUAGAUUCCUCUACUGAAUAUAAUUUAUUAGUGAAAGUAAUGUAAGGAAUAGAAAGGAGAAAUGUUUCUGACUUUAGAGUCAGAGUGUUUUCAUAAAAACAUCUGGUUGGAGAAGUAAACAAAACAUCGUAAGUUCCAUUGGCUUUGACAGUACAAGUGAAUUAUUUCACCAGGGUGCUCCCUAUUAUUGACUACAAAGUGCUAUUAAACAGUAACAGAAAUGUUUAUUUGCCAUAUGUGAAAAAUUGGAUUGCUCCAGAGGCCAGCGAUGUUACGGAAAAAUUCUUUUGACAUUUCUUCAAAAUGCAGGCCGGGUUAGCACAGGAUUGUCACCGGACGAUGCCCUGAAUGGUGCCCAUUCUCAGUAGCUGCCACACAGUUUCACAGAGGACAGAGGCUUCCCUAUUUGCAUUUUUACUGCGUUCCUGCUACUUAUGAAGGGGAGACUAAGGAAUGAAUGGGCACAGACUGCUGAUUUAUCCCCAAGUACAAGGCACAUUGGCAGGAUUGUGGAGCUGGUGAUGCUGCUACCUUACUGUCAUACACAUUAAAAAGUAUUAGUAGCAGGCAAGAAUAAAAAUCUGUCUCAUAAUUUUCAUUGUUUCUUCUUCAAACCUGCUACAUAUUUUAAAAGAUCAGAUAAAAAAUGACACUGUGGAAUGCAUGCAUUACACAUUUACACACACACAUAUUUUCUGUGCUUGACAAAUUACUGAAGCUGAAAGGGAAUGAGCAUGCACAGCUCAGCUGCUGUCACUGGAAGGUGGCAGUGCUCAGUCUGUCACAGGGCCAGGCCCGGAGCCAUAUUUUCUCUAAAGCUUGUGAUAAAGCACAGAAACAGAUUUUUUUCUGUAUGUAUUAAUCAUCUGAAUCUUUAUAAUUUAAAUGUCAGACGCAUAAAUUACUUUUCAUGGAAUAAUGACAAUGAAACAUGCCCUUUGUAUUGGAAAGUACAAGUACAAUGCUAUCUCUCUGAUACAAUUAUAUGAUUUCUAUUCUAAUUUUAGAUCACUUGAGUGACUAUAGAAUAGGUGAGGCCUUGGGAUGUAAAUUCCAGAUGUUUGGUAGAAUAAGGGUGAUGGAGGAGGGAGGAAGUGGUCUUUUUUUUUUGCCCUUGUGUUCACAGGGGUAGGUCACUGGUGCUCGGAAAUAACCCUGUGAGGUUCCAGCUUGUCAGCUUUUGUUUCCUCUAAUUUAAGAAUAAAUCUCUAUCUGGAAUAGUUUUCAGAGAGCUUAUUUCCUCCAUUUGCUAACAGUAUCCCUCCUUGAGUUCCUCACACGAAUACACUGCCAGCCCACUGUAAUUAGGUUGGAAGUUGUGAACAUUAUUCCAUUUCACUUUGGCAAAAGUACCAUUUCAGACGGCCACUGGAGAUAACGUAAGCGCCAGCUCCGUUCCCUCAUUAUCUCCUUGCGUAGCACCAGCUGGAGGGAUCACUCGUGUUAACAGCUUGCUCUCGCGUCUCCUUGAGCCUUGUCUUGUCGCUAUCAGCAGCCCGCAGCCGGGGAACACCUCGGCUCGAUAGCUCACCCCCGGGACGGGCAGCCCGGCGCGGCUCCCGGGGAACCGAGACCCCGGCACGGGGGUGCUGAGCUCCAGGCACCCGGGGAGCUCCAAGGGCGGCCCCGGCGCGGCUCCCGGGGAACCGAGACCCCGGCACGGGGGUGCUGAGCUCCAGGCACCCGGGGAGCUCCAAGGGCGGCCCCGGCGCGGCUCCCGGGGAACCGAGACCCCGGCACGGGGGUGCUGAGCUCCAGACACCCGGGGAGCUCCAGGGGCGGCCCCGGCGCGGCUCCCGGGGAACCGAGACCCCGGCACGGGGGUGCUGAGCUCCAGGCACCCGGGGAGCUCCAAGGGCGGCCCCGGCGCGGCUCCCGGGGAACCGAGACCCCGGCACGGGGGUGCUGAGCUCCAGACACCCGGGGAGCUCCAGGGGCGGCCCCGGCGCGGCUCCCGGGGAACCGAGACCCCGGCACGGGGGUGCUGAGCUCCAGGCACCCGGGGAGCUCCAAGGGCGGCCCCGGCGCGGCUCCCGGGGAACCGAGACCCCGGCACGGGGGUGCUGAGCUCCAGGCACCCGGGGAGCUCCAAGGGCGGCCCCGGCGCGGCUCCCGGGGAACCGAGACCCCGGCACGGGGGUGCUGAGCUCCAGGCACCCGGGGAGCUCCAAGGGCGGCCCCGGCGCGGCUCCCGGGGAACCGAGACCCCGGCACGGGGGUGCUGAGCUCCAGGCACCCGGGGAGCUCCAAGGGCGGCCCCGGCGCGGCUCCCGGGGAACCGAGACCCCGGCACGGGGGUGCUGAGCUCCAGGCACCCGGGGAGCUCCAAGGGCGGCCCCGGCGCGGCUCCCGGGGAACCGAGACCCCGGCACGGGGGUGCUGAGCUCCAGGCACCCGGGGAGCUCCAAGGGCGGCCCCGGCGCGGCUCCCGGGGAACCGAGACCCCGGCACGGGGGUGCUGAGCUCCAGGCACCCGGGGAGCUCCAAGGGC